GGCCCAUCAGCUAGUUGGCGGUGUAAUAGACCACCAAGGCUAAGACGGGUAGCUGGUCUGAGAGGAUGACCAGCCACACUGGGGACUGAGACACGGCCCAGACUCCUACGGGAGGCAGCAGUGGGGAAUAUUGGACAAUGGGCGAAAGCCUGAUCCAGCCAUGCCGCGUGAGUGAUGAAGGUCUUCGGAUCGUAAAGCUCUGUGGGAAGGGACGAAAAAGCCUAACCUAAUACGUUAGGUCUUGACGGUACCUUCUUAGCAAGCACCGGCUAACUCCGUGCCAGCAGCCGCGGUAAUACGGAGGGUGCAAACGUUGCUCGGAAUAUUGGGCGUAAAGCGCACGUAGGCGGUCCGCUAAGUCGGAUGUGAAAGCCCUCGGCUUAACCGAGGAAGUGCAUCCGAAACUGACGGGCUAGAGUACGGAAGAGGGUUUCGGAAUUCCCGGUGUAGAGGUGAAAUUCGUAGAUAUCGGGAGGACACCAGUGGCGAAGGCGGAAACCUGGGCCGAUACUGACGCUGAGGUGCG
rnacentral:rRNA from 1 species